AGAAUUGAGUAAUAUCCUUCAUGGUGUAUGGAAGGAUUAUCAUCCCCAAGAAAGGAGUUGAGUCUACAGCCCCUGUGGCACUGAAUUUGUAUGGAUAUACUCUACGAUCGGUCUGCCUCUUCGUUAUCAUUUUCAGUCCUGCAUUUCCUAAAUUAUUAUCUUUUUACUGUUUCAUAGUCUUAUUUUGGUAGAGAAGAAUAGAAUGUGCAUAUGAUGUAAAGACAGGGCAGUGCAAGUUUGGUAUCACCUGUAAUUUCAUCAUCCACAUCCUGCUAGCCGUAUACCAAUGACAGCUUCAGCAGCUAUGUAUCCAACUGGACAGUCUCCUAUUCAAUCUUCUCAUCAAGGAAACUUGCCAGUUUGGCCUGCUACGCUUCAAGGCUCUUAUGUUCCUAUAAUCCUUCCUCCUGGAUUUGUUCCUGUUUCUGGCUUGCCUCCCUAUCAGGUGGUGCCUGUUAGUCCGGCUGCGUCACCAAGUACUCAGCCAACAAUUGGUGCAACCACCGGUUCAUGGACUAACAGAGUUUUCUCCUUGGCCUGCUACAUCUUCUGCGGGCUCCUCGAGGGGAAGUACAACGGUAGAAGCAUUUCCCGAUAGACCCGGCCAGCCAGAAUGUCUGUACUGUCUAAGGACUGGGGAUUGUAAAUUUGGAACUACGUGUAGGUUUCACCAUCCACCAGUGUGGAGUUUGUCAAGGACCAGAGUAUGUACUUAGCGCAGUGGGUCUGCCACUACGUCCAGGUGCACCACUUUGUU